ACUACAGGGGAGUUUUGUUGGAAGUUGCAAAGUCCUGGAGCCUCCAGAGGGCUGUCGGCGCUGUAGCAGCGAGCAGCAGCGUCCGCGCGCUCCAGAGAGGGGGCAGAAGAGCUCGAGGGAGCGCAGGGCGCAGCAGCCGAAGCCGAGCGCGGACCGAGUCCCGACCCGCCGUCUGCCCCAGGCCGCCCAGCAGAGCCCCAGCCAUGGCACACCAGCUCCUGUGCUGCGAGGUGGAGACCAUCCGCCGGGCGUACCCCGAUGCCAACCUCCUCAACGACCGGGUGCUCCGGGCCAUGCUCAAGGCGGAGGAGACCUGCGCGCCCUCGGUGUCCUACUUCAAGUGCGUGCAGAAGGAGAUCCUGCCGUCCAUGCGGAAGAUCGUGGCCACCUGGAUGCUGGAGGUCUGCGAGGAGCAGAAGUGCGAGGAGGAGGUCUUCCCGCUGGCCAUGAACUACCUGGACCGCUUCCUGUCUCUGGAGCCGGUGAAAAAGAGCCGCCUGCAGCUGCUGGGGGCCACCUGCAUGUUCGUCGCCUCGAAGAUGAAGGAGACCAUCCCCCUGACGGCCGAGAAGCUGUGCAUCUACACUGACAACUCCAUCCGGCCCGACGAGCUGCUGCAAAUGGAACUGCUGCUGGUGAACAAACUCAAGUGGAACCUGGCUGCCAUGACCCCGCACGAUUUCAUCGAACACUUCCUCUCUAAGAUGCCGGUGGCCGAGGAGAACAAGCAGAUCAUACGCAAACACGCGCAGACCUUCGUUGCCCUCUGUGCCACAGAUGUGAAGUUCAUCUCCAACCCGCCGUCCAUGGUGGCCGCAGGGAGCGUGGUGGCUGCAGUGCAAGGCCUGCACCUGGGGAGUUCCAGCAGCUUCCUGUCCUACCACCGCCUCACGCGAUUCCUCUCCAAAGUGAUUAAGUGUGACCCGGACUGCCUCCGGGCCUGCCAGGAGCAGAUCGAAGCCCUGCUGGAGUCCAGCCUGCGCCAGGCCCAGCAGCAGAGCCUGGACCCCAAGGCCGCGGAGGAGGAGGAGGAGGAGGAGGAGGAGGCCGACCUGGCCUGCACGCCCACUGACGUGCGGGACGUGAACAUCUGAGGGCGCCCGCGGCGACGAGGGGCCAGCCCAGGGGCCCCGACUCAGCCACUCCUCUGCAGGACCCCGAAGGGGAAACUUCUCGCUUUUCCUUUGCUCUUUCUCCCUCUCUCUGACUUAAGCAACAGAAAAAAAGUACCCCAAGACUAUCUUUAAAAAAGAGAGAGGAAAAAGAAUAGUAUUUGCAUAACCCAAACCUGGGGGAGGGGGGGGCUGUGCCACAAAAGUAGGAUUUCUACCCCAUAAUUAACUAGUUUUUGUAUUAACGUGUUUGCGUCUCUGUGUUGUAAGGAUAGGCAUUAACACAAGGAAGGAGUCUGCAGGGGAGGGUUAAAGUUCAUUCUUUAUGUGUUUAAAGGAAAAAAAGAAAAAAAGAAAAAAAAGCUUAAAAACAUCCUUAAAAAAAAAAAAUAGAAAAGUUCCACAAACCAUUUUUAAAGUAGAAGAGGGUUUUUAGGUAGAAAAACGUAUUCUUGUGCUUUUCCCGAGGGGCACAGCUUUAAGGCGGUUCUAGGCGUCCUGUACCUUGCUUGCUCAUGCAUGUAGUCACUUUAUAAGUCGUUUGUGCGUGUUUAUUUUAUUUCGUAGGUCGGUGUGUAACCUCUUCGCCUUGUCGACGGCUGAUGUAACCUGUCGGUUAGAGUAGCGAGCAGUUCAGCAUCACUUAGCGCUAAUCCUUUCUGCCUGUGGACCCAGCUCCUGCGCGGGUGUCUGGCGCCGGCCACCUGAGCAGCGGCAAAGCCAACUCUCUGACCCCUUGCGAGCGCUACUAUAAAGAAAAGCCGCGAUGGCGACGUAAUAGAUUCUAUUUUUAUAAUCUUCAUAUUUUUGUAGUUACCCGUUUAGGAGAUGCUGGGUGUUCACGCAACAGACCUGCAGCCUGCUCACAUCCGGGUGAAAACCACAACUCUGUCUGUCUGUCUGUCUGUUUCCGUCUCGAGAUUCUAAAACCAUUCCAUUUCAAAGCACUUUCGGUCCAGUAGUUAGAGGAGGGGUCUCGUCUGUGUUGCGUGUGGAGUGGGCAACGGUUUUAGUGGAAUGGUUUGGGAUAUUCACGUACUUGCGUGCAGACAGGAUGGCAAGGCCAGUGCAUGUCGCUACGGUGUUAGCGGAAGGGGGCAUUUUCGAAGGCCAGGUUCCAGUCCAGGAGAAGAAAGUGUGCAUUCAUUCUCCCAUUGCCAGGAUGACGUGUUCUUUUUUCUGUAGAGAAGCUGAAGUUUAGGAAUCCUUUGGUGCCAACUGGUAUUUGAAGGUUCCUGUCCCAUGAUACCUCAUGCUUCACUCAGCCACGUGCAGACUAGGCCGUCCGGCUCUGCCUGGCCCACGGCCUCCCGCUCCGGCAGACACACGCGGACGAGAUCCCAGAGAGGCCUGGUGGGGACGGGCUCCGGGCCGCGUGCGGGCGGCCACCCCGGCGUCUCUGAGGACCAGCCUGUGUCCGUCCCCCCCCGCGCCUGUUAUGCUGGACCACCCUCUGACCACCCUCUGACCACCCUCUGACCCGGCAUCCACCACCCUAGUGUUUUCACAGCUGUACUGUUCUUUGCGUGUAGCUAUGAACGUUGCAUUAUUAUUAUUAUUAUUAUUAUUGUUAUUAUUGUAACAGGUAUGUCUUAGCGUGCCACUGUGGUGCUGUGCUAUCGGUCACUCGGAAUGAUCGGAACGGGUUCUGGAGUCGUCAGAGUUUGGGUGCAUUGACUCUAGCGUUCUAUCUGUCGCCCCGUUCGUGACAGCAUGAUACUCAUUUUAAAGAGGCUCCGGCUGCCCCUGAGGUCUGCUAACAGUGCUGUGUGCCCGAGUCCCCUAGAGUCACCUAGCACGCUGCCAAACCAAAAGGAUCUGCCCCCCUGGAGGCCGCAGUGGGGGUCGCCUGUGUGCCCCGGCGCCCCACCCCGCCCAAACACUGCUUCCGCUUACCUCAACCCCUCUGGCUGCGGCGUCUGUGUCUGAACCAAAGCGGGUCCGUGAGGGGACAGUCUGUCCUAGCGGGGGUGGACACUGCUGAGAGGCCAGUGGCGGGCCCCGGGGUGCACAGCGGAGCCUGUCCUGUGACCAGCACACCUGCGAGGGUCUGGCGGGCACUCGGGUCUGUGUUUCUGGUUGCACGCCGCAGCACUUCCCAGCACAGACAUGUAACUGGCACGUUUCCGGCAGAAAACAAAAUACAAACGUGGAAAGUCUAGAAAUAAAAUUGGUAAAACCCCA